AUUGAACGCUGGCGGCAGGCUUAACACAUGCAAGUCGAGCGGGGAAAGGUAGCUUGCUACUGGACCUAGCGGCGGACGGGUGAGUAAUGCUUAGGAAUCUGCCUAUUAGUGGGGGACAACAUCUCGAAAGGGAUGCUAAUACCGCAUACGUCCUACGGGAGAAAGCAGGGGAUCUUCGGACCUUGCGCUAAUAGAUGAGCCUAAGUCGGAUUAGCUAGUUGGUGGGGUAAAGGCCUACCAAGGCGACGAUCUGUAGCGGGUCUGAGAGGAUGAUCCGCCACACUGGGACUGAGACACGGCCCAGACUCCUACGGGAGGCAGCAGUGGGGAAUAUUGGACAAGGGGGGGAACCCUGAUCCAGCCAUGCCGCGUGUGUGAAGAAGGCCUUAUGGUUGUAAAGCACUUUAAGCGAGGAGGAGGCUACUUUAGUUAAUACCUAGAGAUAGUGGACGUUACUCGCAGAAUAAGCACCGGCUAACUCUGUGCCAGCCGCCGCCGUAA
rnacentral:rRNA from 1 species